GAGACAACCUGAGGUCAGGUUUGCCAGAGACAACAGGCUGCUGAAUGCACACUGCCACUCCUCAUGUGGCUCCUGCCUGUCCUGGUGGGAGGGUGGGUGUCCUCACAACCCCUGGGCUGGGGGACUGAGGCUUUCUUGUCUGUGGGAUGCUCUUCCUGCGUUUUCCCACAGCCAGGGAAAGGCAGGAGCUGGAGAGGAGAAGCCAAAGAUGGGAGACCCCAAAAUCCUCAGCACAAGAGAAAGAGGUACAGAGAGAGAAUGGAGCAAGGCAGGUCCCAGAGCCCUGGUUGUGCUGCCUGGUGUGUCCCAGCAGUGUCAGCUGCCUUGGAGCAGCACCUCAGCUACUUCUCCUGCUCUCUGAAGACUUGUGUGAAAUGACCAAGAUACAAAGGGCCAGGGCUGCUCCUGGAAGAGGAAAAGCCUAUUGGUGUUGCCUGAAUGAAGGGGCUGAGUGUCUGCAUUCACAUCCUGGGAAAGCAGUUGAGAUUGAUCCUGGUUUGGUCACCCACUGAUGAGCUAAUUUUAACACCAACCAUGAACAUCUCACCGCUGGAAUUGCCGUGUGCCCGCUUGUGUGAGAGAGCAAAUCACUCCAGCAGUAGCGUGGAUCUUCUUCUGCACCCAUUGUUAUGGAAAUCGCCUUAGAGACUGUUGCUCCAGCAAACAUUUUUAGAAGCACCAGUGAGUUGCGCAACAGGAAAAGUGCUCGGAGGUGCACAUUCCUCACCGUUGAGUCUGCAAGGAGAAGCCUUGUAAUGCUCCCACACCUCCCAGCUUCUCCAGAGCAAGCCUGGGAGCCUGCUGGUUACAGGGAGGCUUGGGCAGCAGGUGCUUCCAGGUGUGCUGCCACCAGCCUGGCUGCAGUGCCUGAGCCAGGGCAGGCCACCCCUCUGCCUGGUGACAGCAGGAGGGGUAGAGGAGAGCAAGUCACUGCCCCAAAAGCUUCCAAACCCCCACAGGUUAGGGCAGCCCACCCACAGGGCAGUUCCACUGCUCAUCCUCCAUUUGUGCUCAAACACCGCCCUGAUUUUAAUUAA
rnacentral:lncRNA from 1 species